rnacentral:misc_RNA from 1 species
CAACCCUCAAGCCCGCUGCGUGCUUGCUGUUGGGGACCGGCCCGCCCGCCUCGCGGCGGCGGCCGCCCCUGAAAUGAAUUGGCGGUCUCGUCGCAGCCUCCUUUGCGUAGUAGCACACCACCUCGCAACCGGGAGCGCGGCGCGGCCACUGCCGUAAAACGCCCAACUUUCUCCAAGAG